UAAGGUAAAAUCUCACGUUUUCUCUUCGACAAUCCCCCAUUUAACCCAAAAAUCACGCGUUUUCUCUUCGAGAAUCCCCCAUUUAACCAAAAAUCACGCGUUUUCUCUUUGCAAAUCCCCCAUUUCAGCGAAAAUAACACUUUUUCUCCCCGUGAAACCCCAUUUAACACGAAAAUCACGCAUUUUCUCUUCGAUAAGCAAGCAUUUAACUUGAAAAUCACGCAUUUUCUCUUCGCAAAUCCCCAAUUUAAGAGAAAAUCACGCGUUUUCUCUUCGUGAAUCCCCCAUUUAAGUGAAAAUCACGUGUUUUCUCUUCACAAGUCCCCCAUUUAAGCGAAAAUCACGCGUUUUCUCUUCGAGAAUCCCCCAUUUAAGCAAAAAUCACGCGUUUUCUCUUCGCAAAUCCCCCAUUUAACCAAAAAUCACGCAUUUUCUCUUCGCAAAUCCCCCAUUUAACCUGAAAAUCACGCGUUUUCUCUUCGAGAAUUCCCCAUUUAAGCAAAAAUCACGCGUUUUCUCUUUGAGAAUCUUCCAUUUAAGCGAAAAUCACGCGUUUUCUCUUCGAGAAUUCCCCAUUUAACCUGAAAAUCACGCGUUUUCUCUUUGAGAAUCCGCCAUUUAGGCAAAAAUCACGCGUUUUCUCUUCGAGAAUCCUCUACUUUACCUGAAAAUCACGCGUUUUCUCUUUGCCAAUCCCCCAUUUAAGCGAAAAUCACGCGUUUUCUCUUCAAGAAUCCCCCAUUUUAGCGAAAAUCACGCGUUUUCUCUUCGAGAAUUCAGCAUUUAAGCAAAAAUCACGCAUUUUCUCUUCUAGAAUCCCCCAUUUAAUAAAAAAAUCACGCGUUUCCUCAUCGAGAAUCCCCCAUUUAAGCGAAAAUCACGCGUUUUCUCUUCGAGAAUCCCCCAUUGAAGCCAAAAAUCACGAAUUAUCACUUCGACAAUCCCCCAUUUAACCAGAAAUCACACGUUUUCUCCUUGAGAAUCCUCUACUUUACCUGAAAAUCACGCGUUUUCUCUUCGAGAAUCCCCCAUUUAAGCAAAAAACACGUGUUUUCUCCUCGAGAAUCCCCGAUUUAACCAGAAAAUCAUGCUUUUUCUCUUCGAGAAUCCCUCAUUUAACCCGAAAAUCACGUUUUUUCUCUUCGAAAAUCCCUCAUUUAACCCGAAAAUCACGCCUUUUCUCUUCGCAAAUCCCCCAUUUAAGCGAAAAUCACGCGUUUUCUCUUCGAGAAUUUCCAUUUAAGCAAAAAUCACGCGUUUUCUCCUCGAGAAUCCCCGAUUUAACCCAAAAAUCACGCGUUUUCUCUUUCAGAUUCCCCCAUUUAAGCCAAAAAUCACGCGUUUUCUCUUUGCAAAUCCCCCAUUUCAGCGAAAAUAACACUUUUUCUCCCCGUGAAACCCCAUUUAACACGAAAAUCACGCAUUUUCUCUUCGAUAAGUAAGCAUUUAACUUGAAA
ensembl:lncRNA